AACUUUCUUACUUGUCUAUCGAGAAUUUCUAUAGGUACCUCUUCAUAAGUCAAGCCUUCUUUAAUUUCUAUGGUAUCGGCAGGUAUUAUAUGCGACUCAUCAUGAAUGUACUUUCUAAGCAUA